AUCAUAGUUAAGAGCUCAAAA
rnacentral:miRNA from 1 species